rnacentral:rRNA from 1 species
CACGCUGUAAACGAUGAAUACUAGGUGUGGGGGGACUGACCCCUUCCGUGCCGCAGUUAACACAAUAAGUAUUCCACCUGGGGAGUACGGCCGCAAGGUUGAAACUCAAAGGAAUUGACGGGGGCCCGCACAAGCAGUGGAUUAUGUGGUUUAAUUCGAAGCAACGCGAAGAACCUUACCAGGGUUUGACAUCCAACUAACGAAGCAGAGAUGCAUUAGGUGCCCUUCGGGGAAAGUUGAGACAGGUGG